rnacentral:rRNA from 2 species
GUGCGAGACCGAUAGCGAACAAGUACCGUGAGGGAAAGAUGAAAAGAACUUUGAAAAGAGAGUUAAAGAGUACCUGAAACUGCUGAAAGGGAAUCGAAUCGUUUCCAGUGUCUAUAAUCUGUGGCAUAUUUCAUUGGCGAGUGUGUGCGUGCAUUGUUUUGGAAGCAGUUUUCUGUUCCUGGCUGUGUUGUGCAUUUGCUUGCUGGUGCCCUGUGUCGCGGUGGGACGUCAGAGUCAAUUCGUAAGUUGCGGGAAAUGGCUAUUGGGGAGGUAGGUCACUUCGGUGGCUGUUAUAUCCUGAUAGCUAGUAGUCGUGGCUGGGAUUGAGGUGCCUACAACGUGCUUUCGAGUGUCUGGGUGUCUCGUUUGGUAAGUUAUCUUGACAGCUUGCUGUGUUGGUGAUAUUAUCGAGCGAUUGAUGUCUGGUCUAACUUGUUGCUGUUCGGGACUUUG